UACAGAGGGGGCAAGCGUUAUUCGGAAUUAUUGGGCGUAAAGGGCGCGUAGGCGGCCUGGCAAGUGGAAGGUGAAAUCCCUCGGCUUAACCGAGGAACUGCCCUCCAAACUGCUUGGCUUGAGUCCGGGAGAGGUGAGUGGAACUCCGAGUGUAGAGGUGAAAUUCGUAGAUAUUCGGAAGAACACCAGUGGCGAAGGCGGCUCACUGGCCCGGUACUGACGCUGAGAUACGAAAGCGUGGGGAGCAAACAGG
rnacentral:rRNA from 1 species